AACGAACGCUGGCGGCAGGCUUAACACAUGCAAGUCGAACGGUUGUAGCAAUACAGCAGUGGCGCACGGGUGAGUAAUACGUGGGAACGUACCUUUCAGUCGGGAAUAACAGCGGGAAACUGCUGCUAAUACUCGAUAUUCUCUAUGGAGGAAAGAUUUAUCGCUGAGAAAUCGGCCCACGUCAGAUUAGCUAGUUGGUGAGGUAAUGGCUCACCAAGGCUACGAUCUGUAGCUGGUCUGAGAGGAUGACCAGCCACACUGGAACUGAGACACGGUCCAGACUCCUACGGGAGGCAGCAGUGGGGAAUAUUGGACAAUGGGCGAAAGCCUGAUCCAGCCAUGCCGCGUGAGUGAUGAAGGCCUUAGGGUUGUAAAGCUCUUUUAUCAGGGAA
rnacentral:rRNA from 1 species